CGUCAGUUCGUGCCGUGAGGUGUUUGGUUAAGUCCAGCAACGAACGCAACCCCUGUGACCAGUUGCCAGCGCGUAAAGGCGGGAACUCUGGUCAGACUGCCUGUUUACACAGGAGGAAGGUGGGGAUGACGUCAAGUCAGUAUGGCCCUUACAUCCGGGGCUGCACACGUGCUACAAUGGCCGGUACAAAGGGAAGCGAGACCGCGAGGUGGAGCAAACCCCCAGAGCCGGCCCCAGUUCAGAUUGCGGUCUGCAACCCGACCGC
rnacentral:rRNA from 1 species